CAGUCGCCGCGGGAAUACGUAGGGUGCGAGCGUUAAUCGGAAUUACUGGGCGUAAAGCGUGCGCAGGCGGUUUUGUAAGACAGGCGUGAAAUCCCCGGGCUCAACCUGGGAAUGGCGCUUGUGACUGCAAAGCUAGAGUGCGGCAGAGGGGGAUGGAAUUCCGCGUGUAGCAGUGAAAUGCGUAGAUAUGCGGAGGAACACCGAUGGCGAAGGCAAUCCCCUGGGCCUGCACUGACGCUCAUGCACGAAAGCGUGGGGAGCAAACAGGAUUAGAUACCCCGUAGUCCCUGUCUCUUAUACA
rnacentral:rRNA from 1 species